GUGAUAUGAAAAAUAUUUCAUAUGAGAGAUAGAUAUGGGUUAGAGUUCAUUACAAGAUAUAGCUUUGGGAAGACAACUAAUGUCUUCCUAGAAAUUACACUAGAAAGUGGAAGGUUAUGUUUGGUUCUUCUCUUACAGGAUAUUCCAUAGAGUUAUAUUCAUCUUUUGCGCUUAAGAAGGGACGCGAUAAUUUAUGACGACAGAGGCGCAAAGGACGUCGUCGUUUUGUUAACAUUGGAGCUGUUUUUCUUUGAUCUCUACGCAAAAUUAGUUCCCCUGUGAGUGAUCAACAGUGGCAGUUUACAAAUACAGGGAAUGAAGCAAGCACAUGCUAAAGCUCCUGCUCACUCCCCCAUAUGCUGGUAGAGAUUGUCCUUGCGAAUGUUGGACAAUCUCUCUACAAAUAAAUCAAUAUUGUCGUCGCGAUCUAGCAAACUAAUCCUAACGUAUUGUGGACCAACUCCGAAGUGUGUCCCACUCCUCGUCAAGAUCUUGUUCGAUCUUAAGAAGCUCUCGCAGUCUUCGAUCGGUUCUUCGCACUUCAACCAUGCAAAAGCUGCACAAGAGGUUGAGGUUCAAAGAACCUGCCCGUAAACUUGCAUAAUCCAGGGGAGAAUUCCGGCAAGCUGAACAUGCCACUACGUUUCACCGCCGCCCUUAGGUUUUGCCAUCUCUCCACCAUGAGGUGAUAGGCAAACUCAAAAAGAGA